rnacentral:rRNA from 1 species
AAGCGGCAAAGCUCAAAUUUGAAACCCUCGGGAUUGUAAUUUGAAGAUUUGGCAUUGGAGAAAGCUAACCCAAGUUACUUGGAAUAGUACGUCAUAGAGGGUGACAACCCCGUCUGGCUAACCGUUCUCCAUGUAUUGCCUUAUCAAAGAGUCGAGUUGUUUGGGAAUGCAGCUCAAAGUGGGUGGUAACUCCAUCUAAAGCUAAAUACUGGUGAGAGACCGAUAGCGAACAAGUACUGUGAAGGAAAGGUGAAAAGAACUUUGAAAAGAGAGUGAAAUAGUAUGUGAAAUUGUUGAUAGGGAAGGAAAUGAGUGGAGAGUGGUUUAGGUUUCAGCCUUCUUUCGAGGGGGGUGUACUACCAAACGCCCGAAGUCAUUGUCAGCGAAGACAGGGGUUAUAAACGGGGUUGCCUUCUGGGCUUCUCACCUAACCCCUCCACUGUCCGACCAACGACCAUAUUCCACCAUUUC